GCGCACGCUGGCGGCAGGCCUCACACCUGCCAGUCGAACGAACCUUUCGGGGUUAGUGGCGGACGGGUGAGUAACACGUGGGAACGUGCCUUUAGGUUCGGAAUAACUCAGGGAAACUUGUGCUAAUACCGAAUGUGCCCUUCGGGGGAAAGAUUUAUCGCCUUUAGAGCGGCCCGCGUCUGAUUAGCUAGUUGGUUGAGGUAAUGGCUCACCAAGGCGACGAUCAGUAGCUGGUCUGAGAGGAUGAUCAGCCACAUUGGGACUGAGACACGGCCCAAACUCCUACGGGAGGCAGCAGUGGGGAAUCUUGCGCAAUGGGCGAAAGCCUGACGCAGCCAUGCCGCGUGAAUGAUGAAGGUCUUAGGAUUGUAAAAUUCUUUCACCGGGGACGAUAAUGACGGUACCCGGAGAAGAAGCCCCGGCUAACUUCGUG
rnacentral:rRNA from 1 species